UCAACUACCUAUAUAAUCCAAAACUCCCUCCAAGUUUCAGAGGACGAUACUUUCUCUUUUCCAGUUUCAAACUUCAUCCUCUCUCCACUAUUUUUUUCUAUCCUCUUCCAUCAACACGCUUCAUUUUUCACCCAGAACUCAAAAAGUUUUCAGAAUUCUCUCUCUUUCUUCUCUAACCAAUACUCUUCACCCUUCAAGCCACUCUUCAUUUUUACUUAUUUCAUCAUCUCUGCACAUCUUCAACCCACUUCAUCAUCUUCACACCAACCUACAACAUCAACGCAUCAUCACAAUAUCAAUGUGCACAACAAUUUCAAUCACCAACGUUCAACGUAG